rnacentral:lncRNA from 1 species
UUUUUUUUCUUUUUACAGACACAUCUGCGACAUAUGGAAGUUCCCAGGCUAGGGGUCAAAUCGGAGCUGUAGCUGCUGGCCUACACCACAGCUUGCAUAUGCAACCUACGCCACAGCUUGUGGCAACACCAGAUUUUAACACACUGAGCGAGACCAGGGAAUGAACCUGCACCCUCAUGGAUACUAUAUUAGGUUCUUAAUCCAGAAAGCCACAAUGGGAACUCCAUACAAAACAAGACUUUUUAACUCUAUGAUUUAAUCCUAUAUAUAUUACCUUCACUUUCUACUGAAAGUAUACAAAUACGAAAUGGUAGUUAAUUUUUAAUUUCCCUGCCUAGUCAUAUCAGUCUAUUUUCUGAAAAUGUAUUUAUUUAUACAUAGACCAUAAUAGGUCCUCAGUCAGAAACCUAGAAUAAUUAAGAUUAGCAUGACCAACUAUUAGGUGACACUUUUGUCUGGAAAUCUAUGGCAGAACAAAGCUUGUCUCAAACAUACUUUUUUUUUUUUUGCCAAAACAUUGCCAUGCAAAAAUUUAUCAAUAACCUCAAAUGUUAAAACCCAUGCCACACAAGUCUUUUAAACCUUAAAACAUGGCUUUGCCAACUCAUAGCCUUUGUUUUAGCAAAUAGCUUGAGUAUCUUUUCUUACAACAAAAUGAAAGUAUAAUGAGUUUCCCAGAAAGUCCUUUCAAGACUCCAUCUCUUCUUAAUUUUUAACUUACCUGCAGACUUCUGCAAAGCUCACAGACAUAUCCUACAUUUUGCAGAAAAGUACAUAUCCUACAUUUUGUAGAAAAUUAUAAAGACAGACUUAAAGAUUGCAAACCAAAUGUAAACAGAUGCAAAAAGAUUGCAUACACUUAUAGGAGCAAAUUCAUAUUGAAUUUUGUUGUAAAAAUACAGGCUUCUCUUUUCUUUCUAUAUCCAAGGAAAGUAAGGAAAUUAUUCAAUUCAAACAAUCAUUCUUUCUACUGAGUUAUACAGGUAGUAUCAUCAUCAAUCUGCCAUUUGCUAAGCAGUGAUCUUCAUUACCUGAUGUUAAAAAAUGUAGCCAGACUUUAAGAAAAACUCUGAUCUUCCAUGUAAACAUUAUUUCUUCUUGGAAGCAAGAGGAUAUUAGAGAAAAGUAGAGGCAAAUUCUAUUACACCUUCCCAUCCCUAGCCUCCUGACUCCUGUUCCUAAUUCUUAUAAGGUACUUGCACAGUGUUGUUAACCUACAGUGUUUUUACCUGGUUCCUCAUAUAAUCUGGUGGCAGAGAUAUCAGUAUCUAUCCUUUAAAGGUAUAGAAAUUAAGGUUCAGGUGAGGGACCAUGCAAGUCAGGUAAUAUUUGAAUCCAGGUCUUCUAACUUCAGAACCCAUGGCAUUCCCAUUUUUUAACAGUGCUCCAUGAUCCUUGUUGAUGAUACACAAUGUUCCUCAAACUUGAAUGUACAUUAGAAUCAUCUGGAGGACUGGCUAAAACACAGAAUGAUGGGCUCAUGGCCAGUUUCCUAUUGAGAAGGUCUGAGAUGGGGCCCAAGAGUAAUUAUAUCUAACAUGUUCCUAGAUGAUGCUGAUGCUGCUGGUCCAGGGACCACACUUUGAGAAGCACUGCAAUAUUCUAAUACAUAACCUCUAACUUUUAGCAAAAUGGUUAACAAGUCUCAUUCCCAUCCCACAAAACUGACUAGUAUCAUUUUCUCCAUCUCACUUAAUGAUAACCACAUUCCUCCACAGCUCAGACCAAAGUCUCUGAAGUCAUCUUAAAUCCCCUACAGCCUACAUGUGGUAAAUCCAAUUUUUCAAACUUCUUAACACCUCUGCUGGUACCAUACUGAUAGAGACACCAUCGACUCUUACCCAGAUCACUGAAACAGACUCACAUUUAACCUCCCUGCUUAUAACUUUCCCCCACCUACAGCCUGUUGUCAACACAGUGGCUAUAGCAGGAUAUAUUUAAAAUGUUAAGUUUAUAUCAUUCUUCUGCUCAAAAUCAUUUGGUUCAUUUCCUUAGAGCCAAAUCCCAAGUUCUGGAAGGCCCCAUGUGAUGUGGCCUUUAGAACUCUCCAAUGUCCCAUCUACACGAGGGCUUGGCUGGCCACACCCCACCACAAUCCCGACCCACAUCCCCUUGCUCCACUUUUAAUGUUUUCCUAGCAGGUAUUACUUUCUAUUAUAUAAUUCGCUUAUGUAUUGAGUUUCUUGCUUAUUGUCUGUCUACCACUGUUAGAACAGAUACUUCAAGGGGACACAGCAGGCACAAACACAUAUUUGUUGAAUGAAUGAAUGAAUAAUUAUUCCUUUCACCUAACAUUUCAUCAGACUGAUAAAUUCCAUGUGAACAAUCUGUUCUAGAAUCAGCCACUCAUCAAUACUCUCUCUAAAAUAACUUUUUGGCUCAGCUAGACAUGGAAAAUUAAAUCAAUAAUUUCUGACUUCUAUGUAAAUCAGAAGUUUUCUCUGACAGUGAUUAACUGGCUAAAAGGUAUUUAUAUGGUGGAAUGUGGUCUCAAAAUACUAUUAAUAACAAAUGUCAGUUUUGAGAAAUCUGUAAUCUAAAGUACCAGUAUAUGUCCAUUAAAACAGCAGCUCUAAUUCUUUUUGAGUAGAAGAAAAUAUGAACAAAUUACAGCUUAACUCAUAUUAUAUUCUUUUAGGUCAUAUUUAUCAUUUAUGUUUCAUUUCAAGGGAAAAACAAUGUUUACAAUAUUGUCACCAAAGACAGCUUUAUUAUAGACAGACCAAAUAUAAAUUUGGUUAUUAAUUAAAUUAUUAAAUAAUUUCUUUAAAAACUUUAUAUGGUGAUACCUUCCCAUUUAAAGUAAGUAUAUAUACUUACUAAGGCAUUUUUAAAAAUAAAACAGUGGCCUAUUUAUGGGUUUCCAGUUCCAAUCAGAUAUUGAGAACAUCUGGGGCCAUGGUCUGAACAACUAAUGAAACCGGCAGUGUAAUAUGAUGCUUUUUACUGGGAAUUGGAAUUGACUGGGAAUCAGAAAUGUAACAUGUUCCAGAGGCCCUGAGCCAGGGCUCCGGAUAUCACUGAGGUUGCAUCAGUAGCAUGCACUCAUAUGAGGCGUGAACAUAGAACAGAGGUGAAUAAGAACAGCAGAUGCCUCGUGUCCAUCCUGAGGUGCAGAGUGGUGUCUGAUUUUCUCUCUUGUAGGCAGCCCCUUGAUUACAGUAGGAGCAUCACUUACCUAGGUGGCUGGUUAAGUUCUGUGUUGAGGCUUUGAGAAUCUCUUCUAGAAAUUCAGCCAGUAGAUUUAGCAAGCCAUUUAAUAGCACAUGUUAACUUUGGAAAAGUGAAUUGUUUCCUGGCAGUUUGUCUCUGACCACAAUAGAAUCCCAGCUCAGGUACCCAGGCAUUAAAGCAUGAGCUAGAAGAAGUUUCUGAUCUCCAAAGGGGUGAACUAUACCAGAAUUAUACCAUACCUGGAAGGAUCUCCAUGCUCAUUUAGUUCAACCAUCUCAUUUUGCAGAGAAUGAAAGUGGGAACCACUACUUUCUCAAUUUGACAAAAGAGUUGCAGCUAGAGGUCAAGUGCCCUGACUACUUGUUCAAAAUCAUUCUUGCUAUAGUCACAUAAACUUGGGCCUAACAGCCUUCAUUAUACUGUUACUUCUGUGACUUUGUAAAAUGCAUAUAUUGGUAGAAGAAUUGGAAAAACAGGAAAGGAAAACCUGGAUGCUGCAAUCAGACAAUGCUGUUAUCUUCACAUGUCUCAAGAGAGUCAUUCUAGAAAUGAACGAUAUGGCUUUGUACUAUGGACAUCAGCAAUUCCUAAAACAGGCAGUAGUGAAUGGAAAGUAAGCUCCUUGGAGACCACUGCAUAAUAAGCUCCUGAGACUAAUUUUAAUCUAAUUCAAUAAAACACAUCAUACUCAGACACAAGAAGAUAAUAGAUAGAGGGCACUAAAAGUUUGUCUUAGGUUUGAAGCCUGCUGUCUUAAAGCUCAAGAUAAUAAAAAAAAAUUAAAAACAAGUUGUCUUUGAUUCAUCACUCAUUUCGGAAGUUAUUGGGAUAAUUAAAUUUUAAGCUAUUGUUUACUCCUGAAGUAUUACCUAUUGCCUGUGAGGGUUUGGCUUACUGUAAUAUGGCUAUGAUAUUACUUUUUAGAGGGAGAUGAUCUAGAUGACACAAGUAUAUCUUUUUCUCUUCUUGCUUAUUAAAGACAGAAAAGAUUAAGGUAUGCCAGAUGACCUGAGAAUCACAAAAAUCUCAGGACAUGUAAUCCGGUGGAAUAACAUACUUUAUAGUGUAUGUAUCAGGAGAUUAUACACUUUAACAGUAGUAGAGAAUAUAUAUAGCAUGAAAUUCUGUGCAGCCCUAUCAACAGUUGUAGACCUAUAUCUAUUGACAUGGAACUAUAUUAAUGAUAUAAUAAAUGAAAAAGCAGGGCAUAAAGCAGUAUAUAAAGCAUAAACCCAUUUUUUUUUUUUUUUGGUCCUUUGAGGGCUGCACCCACAGCAUGUGGAAGUUCCCAGGAUAGGGAUCAAAUUGGCCUAUACCACAGCCAUAGCAAUGCCAGAUUUGAGCCACAUCUGUGACCUACACCAGAACUCACAGCAAUGCCAGAUCCUUAACACAGAGUGAGGCCAGGGAUCGAACCUGAGUCCUUAUGGAUAUCAGUCAGAUUAGUUACUGCUGAGCCACAACGGGAACUCUCAUAAACCCAUUUUUGUAGCUAUACUCUCCUUAUAUUCAUAGCCAGAUCAGAAUGUAAUCCAACACAGAUGGUUGGACUACAGAUAUUUUUGGUCAAACCUUUUUCCAGUUAUUUUCAGACAAUAUAUAUUGCUUUUGUGAUAAGAAAAAAAACCAUAUUAGCUGGAGAUAGAGGAAGCAUCCUGAGGGCUUUGACUUCUGAGGUCAACACAGCUCCAUCAGAGGGAAGGGGCAGUCGGCAAGCAGCCCAUUGGCCAAGGUCCAGGCCUCAGUGCUGAGUGCCCCUUGCAGGCACCACGAGCACAGGCAUCAGGCGGAUGCCUUAGUACGCCUAGCAUGCCUGCUGUGUAACGUGCUCACAGAACUCUGCCCUAGGCAGUGAGCCACCUGCUCAAGGACGUCAGUUAAUGAAAGCUGUCUUCUGAAAACCAUAUCCUUUA